AUUGAACGCUGGCGGCAGGCCUAACACAUGCAAGUCGAACGGUAACAGGAAGCAGCUUGCUGCUUUGCUGACGAGUGGCGGACGGGUGAGUAAUGUCUGGGAAACUGCCUGAUGGAGGGGGAUAACUACUGGAAACGGUAGCUAAUACCGCAUAACGUCGCAAGACCAAAGAGGGGGACCUUCGGGCCUCUUGCCAUCGUAUGUGCCCAGAUGGGAUUAGCUAGUAGGUGGGGUAACGGCUCACCUAGUCGACGAUCCCUAGCUGGUCUGAGAGGAUGACCAGCCACACUGGAACUGAGACACGGUCCAGACUCCUACGGGAGGCAGCAGUGGGGAAUAUUGCACAAUGGGCGCAAGCCUGAUGCAGCAAUGCCGCGUGUAUGAAGAAGGCCUUCGGGUUGUAAAGUACUUUCAGCGGGGAGGAAGGGAGUAAAGUUAAUACCUUUGCUCAUUGACGUUACCCGCAGAAGAAGCACCGGCUAACUCCGUG
rnacentral:rRNA from 1 species